GGAUGUCUCUAUGCAGUUCAGGCUGGCCUUGAGCUCACUUUGUAGCCCAGGCUGGCCUCGAACUCACAACGAUCCUCCUGCCUCAGCCUCCCGAGUGCUGGGAUUACAGGCAUGCGCCACCAUGCCUG
ensembl:miRNA